rnacentral:lncRNA from 1 species
GAAAGGUUGUAUUUUUAAAAUAAAAUUCUCAAAAAUUCUAUUUCUGGUAAGUUUUCGUUUUUAUAGAGAAAUAUUUUAGAUUUGGGAUUGUGAAUUAGAAAAUAGGAUUACAAGAAUUUUUGUUGAUAGAUGAGUAUUGUUUUAGAUUUUUUUAUCUAUACGUGGUAUUUUAUAACUAAAAUUCUUAAAAAUUCUAUUUUAGGAAAGUUUUAAAUUUUAUAGAGAAAUAUUGUAGAUUUGGGACUGUGAUUUAGAAAUUAGGAUAAGAAGAAUUUUUGUUGAUAUAUAAGUAUUGUUUUAGAUUUUUU